AGUUGAGAUGAUGAGGAUGGGAUCAUGUCAGUCAUCAUUCACGGAGAUUCUUCGUGAAGUAAGAAUCAGCAGCAAAGCAAGUGAACCCUAAUUUCCUUUUGUGAUCAUGCAUCUCAGAAAAUAGAAAAAAUUAAACUGCGACUCAAAGUUUCUCAGCUCAUUUCUACUUGAGUUCCAACCAGGGUCAUGGAUCCUCACAAAGAGAGAAUUAAGACUGGAUGCCACAAAAUCCUGGACGGAAUAAACUCAAUGUCUUUGGUGAAUUUAGAUGACCAGCAAAUCCAUUCCUUGGUAAUGAUGAGAGAAAUUGCACGCGGUGUUGUUGAUGAUCAAAAUAGGAAGGUGACUAGGAAUGAUGUGAUUCGUGCCUUGCGCCACAGCAUCUUGAAAAUGGUGUGUGCAUCGAGGGAUAUCAUUCGAUUACUGGGUAGGAUGUCUUACGAAGGCUUGGACGACCAACAGAUGAAUUUAGUGUUGAGAAUGAAAGAAAUUGCUCAUCGGAUUAUUGAUAAACAGCCUAGAGUUGCAAUAACUAGGCCUAAUUUACUUGUAGAACAAGUUGCACUUUUGGAUGAAGGGAUGAGAGAUAGUCCUGUGGUUGAGUCGAGUAAGAUCGGGGAUGCUUUGAUUGAUGGGGCUCAAAGCAUGAGUAAUGAUGAUGAUAUGUUAGAUAUGGAACAUGUUUUAAGAUUUGAAAAUGGGAUGAAUGUCGCACAGGAGUCUCUAUCGCCAUCAUGCUUCCAGCAAUUUCUUCUGUGGCCUCCUGACGAUUGUAUCACUUUAGAAUGGGUUCGGGAUAUGAUGUCCAUAUUUGAGCACGUUUCACAGAAGAUGUUGCCAUCUGCAUUUUGUAAUGUUGUGCCAACCAUUUUGGUGGAUAAGUUGACAGAUGCUGCUUCCAGUAUUUUAUGUGAGGAACCAAAUUGUGUGGAGGUUGACUGUGAAGGAGAAGAUUCAAGGGUCAUCGUAGUAGGCGAUAUACAUGGGCAGUUUCAUGAUUUAUUGUCUCUUUUCAAGCAUGCAGGAGUGCCCUCGGAGAGCCAAUUUUAUGUUUUCAAUGGGAAUUAUGUAGGUAAAGGAGCUUGGGGCAUUGAAGUACUUUUGGUCUUGCUAGCUUGGAAGGUGUUGAUGCCUCACAGAAUAUAUCUGCUCCGUGGAAAUCAUGAAUCGAGAUAUUACACUGGAAGGUAUGGUCUUAAGAACGAAGUAUGGACCAAAUAUGGUAAUCAAGGAGAACAUGUAUACACCAAAUUUUUGGAGUGCUUCAAGGUGCUUCCGUUAGCUUCAGUUAUAGCAAACUGUGUUUAUACUACUCAUGGAGGGUUUUUCCGUAGCAAACAUUCUGCUCCUUCACGAAAGCCAAAACAUAGGAAGACACAAAGGGUGGAUCUUGGUUCUUUGGCUGAGCUAUCUGAAGUUAAAAGAGCUUGUAUUGAUUCCCCUUAUGAAGGUCCUAAUAUAUUAUUGACUGACAUCCUCUGGUCAAAACCAUCUAAAAGGAAUGGUCUAAGGGAGAAUGCAGGUCGAAAAUAUGGUUUAUGGUGGGGUCCUGAUUGCACUGAGGCUUUCUUAAAACAACACAAUUUAAAGCUGAUCAUCAGAUCACAUGAAGGGCCUGAUGCAAGGGCUGGUCAGGAUGAUUUUGGGAACAUGAUUAUUGGAUAUAGCUUGGAUCACGAUGUAGAAACUGGAAAGCUAUAUACACUUUUUAGUGCUCCAGACUACCCACAGUUUGGUCAAAAGAGAUAUAAUAAUGAAGGAGCAUAUGCAAUAUUGCAGUCUCCAGAUUUUUCAAGUCCUUCCUUUUUCUCAUUCAAAGCUGCAGAAAGACCAAUGGUGGAUCCUUAUGUUGAUUCUGAUGCUGAUGAGAUGGACUUGCGCGCGCCAAGUUCUUCCCAAAUAGUAUACAUAAAAUGCCCAGAACAUGAUUUUCCUCUUUGCCAUCAUGCUGUAUUGGCAACUAAAUAUUGGAAACGCAGGCUUCAACCUCUGCCUUCUGUGCUUCUCAAAGACCAUAUCCAGGUGGCUCGAGACCCACUUUUGAUUUUAGUUUGUUGGGCAUACACAAUGGACCAUCUUGGAGCGUUGAGCUUGGAGAUGGUUUAGGUGGCACUCAAGUUAUGCAGGUUCCGAGGACCCCCGUGGUGGAAGGCUUGCCGCUUCCUCCCAAUAUACAGGAGCCGCACCGGUCUGCAUACAAGUAUUUGUUCGAGCUGGUUGGUGCAUUGAAACAUGUGGUUGUAACAAGGGAGACUGAGAACAGGGCCCGUGUGUCAGCAUUGAGAAGCAGAGCCAAGAAACGAAAGGGAAGGAAGAGUAAUAGUUGAUAGGUGAGUUUUAGAAAGCGCCCCUCCAGAAGAUGCGUCCCACGUGCGGUUUGCCUUUUGGUUUCGUGGUUGCGGUUGGACACGUGGUGAUGCGUGACGGGCUUGCGUAACGAGGAGAAAGAUGAAACCUGUAAUAGGGAAGUUUUCAUUUUUCGUUAAUUAUAUUUUCGGCUCCUGUUUUGUUGGUCAGGCAUUAAAUUUUGAGUUUAAUUUUGAUGCACUACAUCUGUUCUUUUGGAUGACCAUUCACGCGAUCAAUGUAAAAAAUAGUUAUUUUAUUGAUGCAUUGAUAGUGUGUUAUGUAAUGCGUCUUAAAUUUUUUGCCAUGAAAGACGGGCUGUUCAGCUGGGGCCUGCGAUUUUUUUUUGCUUAAACCUCUUGAGAGAUAUUAGCAAUGGGUCUAAUAUGAGAAAUAUUACAUUUUUUUAAGCUGGCAUGCAAUUAGGUUUUUGAAUGAUGAUAGUGAGAUUUAAAGGAAAAAUGUGAACGAGACCCAAAAAAAAAUGUGAAAGAAAGGGACCUAAUCUAAUAGGUGGGUUGGGGUCCAUAGUGGCUGGGCUUGUUUCUUGUGUAUGUUUAGUGGUCCAAUUUAUUGAAGUAAUAAUAAUAACCAUCCGACGAGAUGAUUAAUAUCAAUGAAGAAUGGCUUCUUGUCCGGAAUUUUACUGAAAUUGCUAGCCCAGAUGAAAAGAAGGGAGGAGCAAGGGUGGAUAUUAAUGCUUGUAGGAAAUUUGAUGACUGGAUUAGAAGUUAUGGCCUAAUUGACUUAGGUUAUGUUGGCUCAAAAUUCACUUGGAAAGGACUGCAAUGGGAAGGCUUAGAGAGAGUUUUCAAACGGUUGGAUAGAGCUUUAUCAAAUGUAGCCUGGAGGAUUAAAUUUCUAGACGCAAAAGUAGAUAAUCUUAGCAAGAUCAAAUUCAGACUACCAUCCUUUACUCAUCACCCUGGAACCCCCACAAACACAGUUGAGACUUGAGAGAAAACCUUUUAGGUAUGCGGCAACGUGGAAUAUGCACUCAGAUUUUGAGGAAUUUCUUAAGUUGAAUUGGAAGAAGCAAGACAGUCUCAGUUAUGCCCUUUUUAGAGAUGGCGAAGGGUCUGAAAAAAAAGGAAGCUGCUCAAUAGGUUGGCCGGAAUUCAAAGAGCACCAAGCUAUGGAAACAACCCGUUUUUACAGGAUCUCGAAAAACAACUCAAUAAGACUGUCUACUAAAUAAUAUUGGAAAUGCAGGCCUUAACCUCUGCAUUCUGUGCGCAUUUUUGUUAAUAUGCUAAUCCCUACUCGAAGGUUUGUUCUAUAGGAGCCGCACCGGUCUGCAUACAAGUAUUUGUUCGAGCUGG